ACCUGCCACCAGUUAGAAAGAUCACAGUGUCACAGGUAUGCUUUUAACAGGAUAGCAACCUCAAAGGUCAAGUUGGGGGAGACGGGGGGCGGGGGAGAAAGCACCCUGGACGGAGAUCAGACUGCAGGGAGGGCAAGCUGCAGGCCCCAUUCUGAGGGUUUCUCCUGGUACUUCCGCAGCGCCCAGGUCCUCCGCUCCGGUCCUCGCAAGGGGGUACGCUCCCUUCCUCCCCACCUGUCCGGCUGGGUUUCCCGGAGUGAUGCCCUAGCGGUGGGAGUGAGAACACGCCGCGCGGGAGCCUCCUUUCGGUUCGGCUCCCCCAGCUGGACCCCGAAGCCCCGGGGGAAGGAAACUACCAUUCAGGGCUCUCCCAUCCCCGCCCCGUUCCUCUCUCCGGCUCGCUGCCCGUCUCGCUUUGAUGCCGCCGAGCCCCAUCGCUACUUCGGGGCGGCCGUCAGGCGGAGGCGGCUGCGAGCUCCCGGGCUCCAGGGACGGAGAUGGGGCAGGGUGAGUGAGCCGGCCCGGCGAGAGGCUCCGCACCGCCCGGCACCCGCCCACGGGCAGAGGAGGCGCUGUCUGGCCCGGCCCGCGCGGGGCAGAGCCUGGGAGAGGCUUGCCGCUCUCCCCUUCCUCCCAGUCCCGGCUGGGAGCCGAACGCGAGCGCGCCGGGGGAGGGAGGAGUGGGAGAGGAAGCCUCGGGAGAGAACAGGGAGCCACUGUGUCCUUUUGAAAAGAAAGUAGGAACGCUGGGUGGGAAAAAACAAAGGCGCCCUCCCAACUUUUCUUCGCGAAAAGUUUUCCCAGGGCGUUUUGUUUGUGCGAACUCGGCCGGCGGAGCCCGGGAUCGCGCUGCCGGCGUGGCGGCUGUGCCUGUGCGCCUCGCCCCGCUCCUCCUCCUUCCAGCCUGGGCAGCUCCGCUCCCUCCCCG
rnacentral:lncRNA from 1 species